rnacentral:rRNA from 1 species
AGCUCCAAUAGCGUAUAUUAAUGUUGUUGUGGUUAAAAAGCUCGUAGUUGGAUUUCAGCGAGUAUUGGCCGGUCCGGAUUGCUCCGACACUGGUUAGAUUACUCGUGUAUUUUGCCAGAAUUUGCUGGGUGAUCUUAAUCGAUUGUCCCGUAGAGCUGGCAGGUUUACUUUGAAAAAAUUAGAGUGCUCAAAGCAAGCUUAUAUGCUUGAAUAUUCGUGCAUGGAAUAAUAGAAUAGGAAGUCGUUUCUAUUUUGUUGGUUUUCGGAAAUCGACUUAAUGAUUAAUAGGGACGGUCGGGGGCAUUUGUAUUCAAACGACAGAGGUGAAAUUCUUGGACCGUUUGAAGACAAACUACUGCGAAAGCAUCUGCCAAGCAUGUUUUCAUUAAUCAAGAACGAA